UCCGUAGGGGGCGAGCGUUGUCCGGAUUUAUUGGGCGUAAAGAGCGUGUAGGCGGCCAGGUAGGUCUGCUGUGAAAACUCGAGGCUCAACCUCGAGACGUCGGCGGAAACCAUCUGGCUAGAGUCCGGAAGAGGAGAGUGGAAUUCCUGGUGUAGCGGUGAAAUGCGCAGAUAUCAGGAAGAACACCCGUGGCGAAGGCGGUUCUCUGGGCCUUACCUGACGCUGAGGAGCGAAAGCAUGGGGAGCAAACAGG
rnacentral:rRNA from 1 species